rnacentral:rRNA from 1 species
GAUGAACGCUGGCGGCGUGCCUAAUACAUGCAAGUCGAGCGAAUGGAUUGAGAGCUUGCUCUUAUGAAGUUAGCGGCGGACGGGUGAGUAACACGUGGGUAACCUGCCCAUAAGACUGGGAUAACUCCGGGAAACCGGGGCUAACACCGGAUAACAUUUUGAACCGCAUGGUUCGAAAUUGAAAGGCGGCUUCGGCUGUCACUUAUGGAUGGACCCGCGUCGCAUUAGCUAGUUGGUGAGGUAACGGCUCACCAAGGCAACGAUGCGUAUCCGACCUGAGAGGGUGAUCGGCCACACUGGGACUGAGACACGGCCCAGACUCCUACGGGAGGCAGCAGUAGGGAAUCUUCCGCAAUGGACGAAAGUCUGACGGAGCAACGCCGCGUGAGUGAUGAAGGCUUUCGGGUCGUAAAACUCUGUUGUUAGGGAAGAACAAGUGCUAGUUGAAUAAGCUGGCACCUUGACGGUACCUAACCAGAAAGCCACGGCUAACUACGUGCCAGCAGCCGCAGUAA